rnacentral:misc_RNA from 1 species
GAUGAAGAACGCAGCGAAAUGCGAUAAUUAAUGUGAAUUGCAGAAUUCAGUGAAUCAUCGAAUCUUUGAACGCACAUUGCGCCCCCUGGUAUUCCGGGGGGCAUGCCUGUCCGAGCGUCAUUACAACCCUCAAGCUCAGCUUGGUAUUGGGCCCCGCCGACCCGGCGGGCCCUAAAGUCAGUGGCGGUGCCGUCCGGCUCCGAGCGUAGUAAUUCUUCUCGCUCUGGAGGUCCGGUCGUGUGCUCGCCAGCAACCCCCAAUUUUUUUCAGGUUGACCUCGGAUCAGGUAGGGAUACCCGCUGAACUUAAGCAUAUCAAUAAGCGGAGGA